rnacentral:lncRNA from 1 species
GUGAACCAGUGUGGAAGCAAAAUGAAAGUAGUCUGAUAUUUCCAUCAGAACUGGAGGGAAAUCCCAUCAAGGAGCAUUUCCUAGUCCUAAUGUAAUGCAGCAUUAUCAGACCUGGUGCAUGGGUGGUUCCAAACCCUUGCACAAAUGCAGAUAUGCCUGGCAGCUAUUGAGAGCUGUGCUUAAGGCUUUAUUCAGUCACAUAACAGCUGCAUCUAGGCUGACUUCAGGGUCUUCUUGAGGUAAAAGGCUUGUGGUGUAUGAUUAAGGAAAAUCACUGCUUCACUUCCCAAAACAUAGUAUUAACCUUGAUUCUUAUCUUAGUAUUUGCCUCAGACAUACUGUCCAGACUCUGUUGUUGUUGUUGUUUUUUAUUUAGCUAAAGAAGCUCAAUUCUCAACAUGGCUUAGAGAACACAAGUGAUGGCCCCCUUUCAAAGAGAAAAAAACUUCUCACUUUCCGACUGGUUUUACAGGGAUGGGAGAAUCAGUACAUCAUCUGCUGCGACUGCAAUUGUAGCCAACUUGGCAAAGCUGUUUCAGUCUGAUUUCAUGCCACUUGGCCACAUUCUGGUAAGUGUCUGUCUAAUCACAUUUAUUGUGUUUAAUUUGCAAAUCAUUUGUGAAUGUAAACUACAGUUGGUGAAACUCAAAACAAAGGAAAAUCACCUGUGAUAGAAGAAAGAGGUACUUUUCCAAAGAUAAUACUCUUUCACUUUCUUUUUUGUUUGUUUUUGUUUUGUUACUGUGAGUUGCUCUACAGAUCAUCAUCCAUUAGUGUGCACUGAGAGCACAUGGGAACAGACAAACCUUACAGGAACAGACAAACAACAAGCAAAGUGGUCAGUGGAGAAAUCCUCAGUCCCUGUCUAUCACCAGUGCACAUGAAGCUGACAGAUCACUGACUUGAAGAGCCAGGUGGUAAUAUCUCUUGAGGAAGACAAUCCCUGGCAAUUUGGAAACCUUGACAUCUGGCUAACCAUCAGCUGGUGGGUGUCUGGCAUUUUCCAUUCGCUGCCUAAUUCUGCCCCUGAGACCAAGAAAUGCUGGACACCAUGGAUCACAGAGCCAGUGGACCCCAGGAUGGUGCCUGCUCUCCUUGCAAAAUGCUGUAACUGCCCUGCAGUUGUGAUUUGGCACCACAAGCAAAAAAUCUGAGUGGAUAUGAUGCUAUAUAUUUAUUGAUGAUACUUGUGAUCUGGAGAUUAAGGGCUUUCACGAUGCAAUAGUCUUUAUUCUGGAAGAAUUCUAGUCAGAGAGACCUGGUUCAUAAGCAAAUGUUGAGUUUGAAAUAUGCCAGUGAAGCAUCCUGAACGAUUUGUUGCUGUGCUGGGUUAUAUGAGAGAUCUCCAAUGUGUUGUUUAUAUAAAGUGAUGUUUUUGUAAACUCCAUUAAGUCUUAUGCUGUUCUUGUGCAGUGCAAUCAGAGUAUUCUACGGGCUAGAGCUGCGUACUGGUAGGGGGAAGGGAGACAGUUUUCCAUUUGCCAUGUAGGGUAGGCAGCAUAUUUGAAAUAGGGCUGGGCCUUUUCUCCAAGUGAUGGUAUCUCUGGUUUAAUGUAGGUCAAUCUUUUUACUAACCUAGGGCUCACUUGCUUUCAAUGAUUAUGAAAUUGUGCUUUCUUAGUAUUGUUUUGUCUUUUUCACAUUUGUCUCAGAAAAAUCAAGAAGUUGAAGAGAAGGUGAUUAGUCAUCAGGAAUUUCGGAUAGCAACCGAGUGUGGGUAGGAAUGAUUUUAUUUAUUCAGAACCACCUAUCAGUGGGGAGGUAGAACUUUUAUCUUCAAAAGCAAAACACAUACGCAGUCACUCACUCACUUCUCACUAGAUUGGACAGGGUAGAGAGUAGGAAGAGCAAAAGCAAGAAAACCCAUGGGUCAAGAUAAAGACAGUUUAAUAAGGGAAGGAAAGAGGAAAUAUAUAAAGUGAUCUAAAGCAAUCGCUCACCACCUCCCACUGAUGACUAGCCAGUCUCUUGAACAACAGCUACAGUGGCUACCUUGAAAGACACUCCACCCCACCUGUUAGUGCUGAGAAUGACAUUACGUGGUAUGGGAAAUCUCUUCUGCCAGUUAUAGUCAGCUGUCCUGGCUGUGUCCUUUCCCAGCUUCUUGUUCCUCCAAGCCUACUUGCUGGAACGGGACAGGGUGAGAAAAAAACUUCAUGCUGUACAAGUACUAUUCAGCCAGAUCCAGUACAACAGAGCUGCUUGACAUUAAUUCAUAGUAAAUCAGAAAUAGAAGAUACAGUUUCGUAGUUAGCAUAAAGAUCCUGGUGACUCAAUUACAGCUUGCAGUUCCCUCUCCCUUCCAGUCACAUGUUUCCCAUCUCCCCUCAAGUCAGCACUAGCAAUCAUGCAGCCCUGCAAAAAGCAAGUUUCCAGCAUGUCCUCUAUAGUGAGUUGAAGCUGUUACACAGGCACAAGCAUGAGAAUGUUUGGCUGGGGCCAGGAAAAAUGACAGAAGUGACGUUACUGGAAUAAACAUGUCAAUUUGUGACA